rnacentral:RNase_P_RNA from 1 species
GUAGGCCGGCUUGUCGCUUGCAUCCUUGUGAUGUAUGAGGAAAGUCCGGGCAACGCAGAGCAUCCCACUUCCUAACAGAAAGUUGUCCGCGAGGGCAAAGUAACGCAGAAGAAAAGAACCGCCACGGCCUCGUGCCGCGGUAAGGGUGAGAAGGUGGGGUAAGAGCCUACCGGCUCUGUGGUGACACAGAGGCCGUGCGUCUUGGGAGUUGUAAGGUCAUGUAAACCGGCGUUAUGAGGGUUGCUCGCCCAAGCCGGAGGGUGGACCGCUAAAGUGCGCAUGGCGACAUGCCACUCAGAUAAAUGACAGGCACCUCCCCUACAAGGGAGGCACAGAACCCGGCUUAUAGGCCAACUG